AAUCGGUUCCGUGGUGAUUUGCGGCGUAUUGCGGCCACGUAAAACAAUCCGCUAAAAAGCCGGCCCGUUGCGGCU
rnacentral:ncRNA from 2 species